GAUGAACGCUGGCGGCGUGCCUAAUACAUGCAAGUCGAGCGAACAGACGAGGAGCUUGCUCCUCUGACGUUAGCGGCGGACGGGUGAGUAACACGUGGAUAACCUACCUAUAAGACUGGGAUAACUUCGGGAAACCGGAGCUAAUACCGGAUAAUAUAUUGAACCGCAUGGUUCAAUAGUGAAAGACGGUUUUGCUGUCACUUAUAGAUGGAUCCGCGCCGCAUUAGCUAGUUGGUAAGGUGACGGCUUACCAAGGCAACGAUGCGUAGCCGACCUGAGAGGGUGAUCGGCCACACUGGAACUGAGACACGGUCCAGACUCCUACGGGAGGCAGCAGUAGGGAAUCUUCCGCAAUGGGCGAAAGCCUGACGGGGCAACGCCGCGUGAGUGAUGAAGGUCUUCGGAUCGUAAAACUCUGUUAUUAGGGAAGAACAAAUGUGUAAGUAACUAUGCACGUCUUGACGGUACCUAAUCAGAAAGCCACGGCUAACUACGUG
rnacentral:rRNA from 1 species